UAUAAAAUGUUGAUUAGAAAAUAGUAGCCUUUGAGCUAGUCUUAAGAGAGUCGAUGGGUGGUGCGAAUCGAUGACAAACUGAAGGUGAAUGGGUCUAUGAAUGCGAGGCGAAUCACAGUAGCUAAGACGGAUCUCCCGUUAUCGAGAUAGAAUAUGUCAGUAUUCGAAAAAGAUGCACACUUGUGCAAAAAGGAUGGCACCGCGAACAACCAUUUGCUCCUUUA
rnacentral:ncRNA from 1 species